rnacentral:tRNA from 1 species
GUGCUGGUGGUCGAAUGGCCCUGCGAAUCCUGCACCUGGUAGGUGAAGGUUUCGCUGACUGUGUUCGGCCCAUCGUUGGCAUG